rnacentral:lncRNA from 10 species
CCAGGUUUCAUGGAGGAGGGAAGGGCUGGGUCUUUACGGGAAGACAAGAUGGAGAAAGACAAGGGGUGAGAGGGAGACAGAGAAAGUGGGUGGGAGACUUGUGGCAGGAAAUGAGAAAGGGGAAGGAAGGUAGGCGGCAGUUUAGAGAAACUCUCCUUCUAACCAUCAUCGAGCCCUCUCCACCAGGCAGGGUGCCAGGCUUUCCAUACAGCACCCGUGGAAGCUCACCAGAACCAGAUGAGGUUCACUUCCCCAUUUUACCUUUGCCGAAAUUAGACACAGAGAGGUAAACCACUUUGCCUAAGUUACACAGCUAGGAAGUGAUGGAAGCAGAAGGAGGGGAGGAUUUGGUUAGGAAGGAGAAGGGGACUAGAAUUUAUGGAGGGCAUUUCCUGCAGGGCUUUCCUGUAGAUAUUUUACAGGCAGUCAUUCAUUCAGUCCAGCAUUCACUCAGUCUUUCGGCACGGCUGCAUGUGAACGCCUAUGGUGCCAGGCGCGGCAUUGGGUGUUGAGGAUACAGACUGAAUUCAUUCAUUCGACCAACCCUCCUUAAGCGUGCACAAACAGGCAGCGAUGAUAUGGUGACAGGUGCUGUGGAAGGAGUCAGUGAUUGGGCUGUGGGAGCACAAGAGAAAAUCGGCAAGGAUUGAAUGUUUUUGUAAAGAAGAGAAAGGAACCACAGAGCUAGAGGGGGCAGGAGGAGAAGGAGAUGCUAAGAUGAUGGCACACCAGCAUAAAUGCUACCUUUUUUUUUUUUUUGAGACAGAGCCUCACUCUGUCGCCCAGGCUGGAGUGCAGUGGCGCGAUCUCGGCUCACUGCAACCUCCGCCUCCUGGGUUCAAGCAAUUCUCCUGCCUCAGCCUCCCGAGUAGGCUGGGAUUACAGGCGCCCGCCACCACACCCGGCUAAUUUUUUUUUUUUUUUUUUUUUGUAUUUUUAGUAGAGAUGGGGUUUCACCAUCUUGGCCAGGCUGGUCUUGAACUUCUGACCUCGUGAUCCACGCGCCUCGGCCUCCCAAAGUGCUGGGAUAGCAGGCAUGAGCCACUGGGCCCGGUGGGCCCAGCCAGUAAAUGCUAGUAUUUUUGUUUGUUUGUUUUUUUGAGACGGAGUUUCACUGUCAUCACUCAGGCUGGAGUGCAAUCGCUCACUGCAACCUCUGCCUCCCGGGUUCAAGCGAUACUCCUGCCUCAGCCUCCUGGGAAGCUGGGAUUACAGGCGUCUGCCACCACGCCCGGCUGAUUUUUGUAUUUAGUAGAGACAGGGUUUCACCAUGUUGGCAAGGCUGGUCUUGAACUCCUGACCUCAGGCCUCCCAAAGUGCUCAGGCCUCCCAAAGUGCUCCCAAAGUGACCGAGAACUCCUGCCUCGGCCUCCCAAAGUGCUGGGAUUACAGGCAUGAGCCACCACGCCUGGACUUUUUUUUAAAUUUAAAUUUUAUUUUUUUUCUGAGACAAGGUCUUACUCUGUCGUCCAGGCUGGUCUUGAACUCCUGGGCUCAAGCGAUCCUCCUACCUCUGCCUCCUUAAGUGCAGGGAUUACAGGUGUGAGUCACUGUGCACCGGGCACUGCUACUCUGAACACAUGUGGCUACAUGGAAGACAGGACUUGGCCAUGUGCUCUCCCCAGCUCAGUAGUCAAGUGCCUCUCUCCAUUUACUGAUUUUACCCAGUGAGAACAUGUUUAGGACACUUUUCUACAGUGGAAGAAAAGCUUCUGUCUGCAGGUCCAAAGGCACCGUAAGUAGAGGGAGACCAGUCAAUAGCUGGGAAGCCAGGCAAAAGGCUAACAGGCAGAUCUCUGGUUUCUCUUCAUAACGAAUAAAUCUUUCGCCUUUUACUAAAGAUUUCCGUGGAGAAAAACAACUAUGAGUUUAUGGUUAAAUUUUUUGAAGUCUUGCCUAGGCAAGGCUGAAUGUUCUGUUACUAAAGAGAGACGUGUGGGUGGGGUGUUUCAUGCUUUGGGAGGUUGGGGUAGCUCCACAAAUGUCACCCAGGUUGUAGCGGAGUGGUGUGGUCGCGGCUCACUACAACCUCCAUCUCCCAUGCUCAAGCAAUCCUCCCACCUCAGCCUCAUAAGCCUGUCUAAUUUUGUGUACUUUUUGUAGUGCCCGGCCUACUGUCAUGUUUUUUUAGCUUCUUGUAAACAUUUAGGAAGCUAAAUGUUUAUAAGAUUUUUUUUUUUAAAAGAAAACCUAGUUUUUGACAGUCUGUAUCUAAUAAUUUGGCUGAAGUCUUGUGAGUCUUUCUAGUGUGCUAGUUCCAAUUUAUAGUGAUGACUUUGUGUGCAUGAUUAUCUUAUACUUUGGACUGGUCUCAUAUUUGAAAAAUUAAGUGUAGGAAAAACUUAAGAGUUAGGAUGAUGAUACUUUCUUCCAGAGAUAGUUUUCUUUUGUUUUUAUCAGGUACCUGGGGACACAAACAAUUCUGGACUACCUUUGUCCACAUUCAACACUUGAGGUUCUCUGGACCACCUGGUAGUUAUAUAAUCCAUACAAGACCACCUGAGGGCCGGCUUACUUUUGGCCCACCUUGACCUUGAGGGUACUGUCUUCUGGGGUCCAACUUAAAGUAUGUAUGCUAGAGGUAUCAGACUUCCCACCGAGAGCAGAAUCUCAGUGCCUUCUCUUUCUUUUGCCCUUUUUUUGUUUUGUUUUGUUUUGAGAUGGAGUUUCACUCUGUCACCCAGGCUGGAGUACAGUGGUACGAUCUCGGCUCACUGCAGCUUCCACCUCCUGGGUUCAAGGGAUUCUCCUGCCUCAGCCUCCCGAGUAGCUGGGAUUACAGGUGCGCACCACCACGCCUGGCUAAUUUUUGUAUUUUUUAGUAGAGACAGGGUUUCACUAUGUUGGCCAGGCUGGUCUUGAACUCCUGACCUCAAGUGAUCCACCUGCCUUGGCCUCCGAAAGUGCUGGGAUUACAGGUGUGAGCCACCACGCCCGGCCUGAGAAGUCUUCUUUAUCUGGCUAUUGCUACUCAUU